GACAGAGGCGGCACCUGAGUAAGCCGGGACACGAGGAAUCCUGGCCGAAUCCGCGGGGACCAUCCCGCAAGGCUAAAUACUACCGAGAGACCGAUAGCGAACCAGUACCGUGAGGGAAAGGUGAAAAGAACCUCGAACAGAGGAGUGAAACAGACCCUGAAAUCAUGUGCCUACAAGCGGUCGGAGCCCUUUCGUGGGGUGACGGCGUGCCUUUUGCAUAAUGAACCUACGAGUUGCCGGCGGCGGCGAGGCUAAGGGGCUCAGCCCCGGAGCCGGAGCGAAAGCGAGUCCGAAGAGGGCGUGCACAGUCACCGUCGGCAGACGCGAAACCAAGUGAUCUACCCUUGGGCAGGAUGAAGGUGAGGUAACACUCACUGGAGGUCCGAACCGGUAAGCGUUGAAAAGCUUUCGGAUGACCUGAGGGUAGGAGUGAAAGGCCAAUCAAACUUGGAGAUAGCUCGUACUCCCCGAAAUGCAUUUAGGUGCAGCCUCGGGCUCAGUACCGUGGAGGUAGAGCGACUGAUAGGAUGCGAGGGCUUCACCGCCUAUCAAGUCCUGACAAACUCCGAAUGCCACGGCACGGUCCCCGGGAGUGAGGGCGCGGGUGCUAAGGUCCGCGUCCGAGAGAGGAACAACUCAGACCACCGUCUAAGGCCCCGAAAUCCGGGCUAAGUUGAAGACAAUAACGAGGUGGGACCGCAAGGACAGCUAGGAUGUUGGCUUGGAAGCAGCCAUUCAUUUAAAGAGUGCGUAACAGCUCACUAGUCGAGUGGUCCCGCAUGGAUAAUAAUCGGGCAUAAGCCCGGUGCCGAAGGCGUGGACCUGCC
rnacentral:rRNA from 1 species